CAGAGAAUACCAAACUCAAGGAUAAUGAUCCAUCAGCCGCUUGGUGGAGCUCAAGGUGGCCAGACCGAUAUCGACAUUCAGGCAAAUGAAAUGCUGCACCACAAGGCCAACCUAAACGGUUACCUCGCUUACCAGACUGGUCAAAGCCUGGAGAAGA